AAAUAAGUAUCAAAAUAAGUUACUAGCAACACAAUACCCAAACAAGGUGCAGCUUUAAAAACAUAUAUAAAUGUUAUUAUGAAUAUUUUGAAUCACACAAGACGAAUUAAUACGUCAAACAGUUGUCUGUGCGGUGAAAAAAGCAAGAAAAAUGCCUCCAUUGCAAAGGAUCCUGUGGCUGCGCGUCAUUUGUUUCCCGUUUGCCACCGCAGCACCGUGCGUUCAAUUGAAACAGAAAUUUAAGCUGAACAGAACUUGCAGUGCACAUUGAAUUCGCAUACUUAAUCCCACUAAAUAAAUAAAUUCAAAGAAACACACAUACACAGUGUCCAAAAGAACGAUAAAUAAACAUUGCUUGUAUGCAAUAUCACGACAUGUUAAUACAAUAUAUAAAAUAAACAAAGCCUUUGACUGG
rnacentral:lncRNA from 1 species